GUGAGGAAUAUUGGUCAAUGGGCGCGAGCCUGAACCAGCCAAGUCGCGUGAAGGAAGAAGGAUCUAUGGUUCGUAAACUUCUUUUGCAGGGGAAUAAAGUGCAGGACGUGUCCUGUUUUGUAUGUACCCUGAGAAUAAGGAUCGGCUAACUCCGUGCCAGCAGCCGCGGUAAUACGGAGGAUCCGAGCGUUAUCCGGAUUUAUUGGGUUUAAAGGGUGCGUAGGUGGUUUGAUAAGUCAGCGGUGAAAGUUUGCAGCUUAACUGUAAAAAUGCCGUUGAAACUGUCGGACUUGAGUGUAAAUGAGGUAGGCGGAAUGCGUGGUGUAGCGGUGAAAUGCAUAGAUAUCACGCAGAACUCCGAUUGCGAAGGCAGCUUACUAAGCUACAACUGACACUGAAGCACGAAAGCGUGGGGAUCAAACAGGAUUAGAAACCCGAGUAGUCC
rnacentral:rRNA from 1 species